rnacentral:rRNA from 1 species
ACGUAGGGGGCAAGCGUUGUCCGGAAUUACUGGGCGUAAAGCGCACGUAGGCGGCUUUGUAAGUCAGAGGUGAAAGCCUGGAGCUCAACUCCAGAACUGCCUUUGAGACUGCAUCGCUUGAAUCCAGGAGGGGUGAGUGGAAUUCCGAGUGUAGAGGUGAAAUUCGUAGAUAUUCGGAAGAACACCAGUGGCGAAGGCGGCUCACUGGACUGGUAUUGACGCUGAGGUGCGAAAGCGUGGGGAGCAAACAGGA